AAAGAAUUAGGUUAAAAACCAUUAAAAUGUCAUUUUAAAAUUAUUUAUUAUAAUUAAAUAUUCUUUA
rnacentral:tRNA from 1 species